CCAGACUCCUACGGGAGGCAGCGGUGGGGAAUAUUGCACAAUGGGGGAAACCCUGAUGCAGCGACGCCGCGUGAGCGAUGAAGUAUUUCGGUAUGUAAAGCUCUAUCAGCAGGGAAGAAAAUGACGGUACCUGACUAAGAAGCCCCGGCUAACUACGUGCCAGCAGCCGCGGUAAUACGUAGGGGGCAAGCGUUAUCCGGAUUUACUGGGUGUAAAGGGAGCGUAGACGGCGAUGCAAGCCAGAUGUGAAAGCCCGGGGCGCAACCCCGGGACUGCAUUUGGAACUGUAUAGCUAGAGUGUCGGAGAGGCAGGCGGAAUUCCUAGUGUAGCGGUGAAAUGCGUAGAUAUCAGGAGGAACACCGGCGGCGAAGGCGGCCUGCUGGACCGUGACUGACGUUGAGGCUCGAGAGCGUGGGGAGCAAACAGGAUUAGAUACCCGCGUAAA
rnacentral:rRNA from 1 species